ACUUCGGUCUGCUACCUCUUACCCAUGUCUUUUGAGUACCUUCGUUUCCUCGGCGGGUCCGCCCGCCGGUUGGACAACAUUCAAACCCUUUGCAGUUGCAAUCAGCGUCUGAAAAAACUUAAUAGUUACAACUUUCAACAACGGAUCUCUUGGUUCUGGCAUCGAUGAAGAACGCAGCGAAAUGCGAUAAGUAGUGUGAAUUGCAGAAUUCAGUGAAUCAUCGAAUCUUUGAACGCACAUUGCGCCCCUUGGUAUUCCAUGGGGCAUGCCUGUUCGAGCGUCAUUUGUACCUUCAAGCUCUGCUUGGUGUUGGGUGUUUUGUCUCGCCUCCGCGCGCAGACUCGCCUUAAAACAAUUGGCAGCCGGCGUAUUGAUUUCGGAGCGCAGUACAUCUCGCGCUUUGCACUCAUAACGACGACGUCCAAAAGUACAUUUUUACACUCUUGACCUCGGAUCAGGUAGGGAUACCCGCUGAACUUAAGCAUAUCAAUAAGCGGAGGAA
rnacentral:rRNA from 1 species